rnacentral:rRNA from 1 species
GCUUUAUAAUUGAAUAGAAUUUUUAAGAAAUAAGUUUAUAAAAGUAAAAUCUAUUUUUUAUUUUAUUGGGGCGAUAGAGAUAUAAGUGAUAAUAACUGUCAGAGUUAAAGACAUAUAUUUAUGAAAUGUUGUGUGAUCCUAGUUAUAGAUUAAAAGACAAAGUU